UACGUAGGGUGCGAGCGUUGUCCGGAAUUAUUGGGCGUAAAGAGCUCGUAGGCGGUGUGUCGCGUCGGCCGUGAAAACCUGGGGCUUAACUCUGGGCGUGCGGUCGAUACGGGCAUCACUGGAGUUCGGCAGGGGAGACUGGAAUUCCUGGUGUAGCGGUGAAAUGCGCAGAUAUCAGGAGGAACACCGGUGGCGAAGGCGGGUCUCUGGGCCGAUACUGACGCUGAGGAGCGAAAGCGUGGGGAGCAAACAGG
rnacentral:rRNA from 1 species